rnacentral:rRNA from 1 species
GUGAGGAAUAUUGGGCAAUGGAUGCAAGUCUGACCCAGCCAUCCCGCGUGCCGGAAGAAGGCCCUCAGGGUUGUAAACGGCUUUUGACGGUGAAGAAUCGACAGGAUGCGUCCUGUUUUGACGGUAGCCGUUGAAUAAGCACCGGCUAACUCCGUGCCAGCAGCCGCGGUAAUACGGAGGGUGCGAGCGUUGUCCGGAUUUAUUGGGUUUAAAGGGUGCGUAGGCUGGAAGGUCAGUCAGCGGUGAAAAGCUGUCGCUUAACGAUAGUCUUGCCGCAGAUACUUCCUUUCUUGGAUGAGGAGGAGGCCACUGGAACGGAUGGUGUAGCGGUGAAAUGCAUAGAUAUCAUCCAGAACACCGAUUGCGAAGGCAGGUGGCUGUACCUUAAUCGACGCUGAUGCACGAAAGCAUGGGGAGCAAACAGGAUUAGAAACCCCUGUAGUCC